rnacentral:rRNA from 1 species
UACGAAGGGGGGCUAGCGUUGCUCGGAAUCACUGGGCGUAAAGCGCACGUAGGCGGGUCGUUAAGUCGGGGGUGAAAUCCUGGAGCUCAACUCCAGAACUGCCUUCGAUACUGGCGAUCUUGAGUCUGGGAGAGGUGAGUGGAACUCCGAGUGUAGAGGUGAAAUUCGUAGAUAUUCGGAAGAACACCAGUGGCGAAGGCGGCUCACUGGCCCGGUACUGACGCUGAGGUGCGAAAGCGUGGGGAGCAAACAGG